GUGGCAUCUUCAGUUUACAUCAACUUGCUCUCAUCUGAGACAAAACUCUGUGUGUCCCUGCUGCGAUGGAUGCCAGAUAGAGCCUGCUUGCCUAGGAUGGGGACAGAUGCCAUUGGAAACAGUUCAUUUCAACCAGAUGCUGGUGAGUCCUUCCUCAGAAAUCCGGUCCUUGCACUGCCUGGGAAUACAAACAGAUGCUCUGUGGCACUUCAUUAUUGGAUUGCGAGCACAUUGAUGUUUCAUAAAGGGCAUUGUAGAGUAAUGUUUGCCAUGCUCCAUGCCAAUUGCGGGCUGAGAUUGCUACAGCAUCAUGGAACAGAUGGAAGUUAAAGUCGUAGCUAAGCUCCAGUCUCCAUUUCUUUUGAUGAAGAGCUCCAAAGAUAGCUUUAAGUGAACUUUCAAAGGAACUGAGAUGGAAUGACCCCACCUGUCAGUUCACUGGAACUGCCAUGCCCUGAUAUUGACGUGAAAGGGGUAUGCUAAUGUCCCAAUGAGAAAUACUUCGACAUUCUGACUGAAGCUCCCCUGUGGCAGGACAGAUAGCCAAGACUAUGCUGAGAUUGCUUAGAAAUGUGCUUUUCUAGAACAUAGAUUUUGUCAUCAAGUUGCAUGAUUAUCCAGUAAUCAUAUGUAUUAUUUUAAUAACUAAAAUGGUUUCUCCCUGCUCCUGCCAAGUUUACUUCAUGAGUGUAAACAGCAUGAGCCGGAGGGUUAAACUGGGAUUUUCCGUCAACUAUGGUCUUUAGUAUUGUGCACUAAAUAUAGAAGUUCAAUGAAAGUUUUGUUGAAUUGAAUUACUAACUCAAUUUAUAUCAGUAUACAUAUAUCAGUAUGUUUAUGCCAAUACCCAUGUCUGUAUCUAUAUCUAUAGUUCUGUAUGUAUCAAUAUCUAUACCUAUCUAUAUCAAUAUCUUUAUAAUAUAAUUAUCUACG
rnacentral:lncRNA from 1 species